GCUCACUUUGGCAGCAUGUAAAGUUGGAGCAAUGCAGAGAAGAUUAUUAGCAUAGCCCCCGGGGCAAGGAUGACAGGCAAAUUCAUGAAGCGUUCUAUAUUUUA